rnacentral:rRNA from 1 species
GAUGAACGCUAGCGGCAGGCCUAAUACAUGCCAGUCGGACGGGAUUCAGGAGCUUGCUUCUGAUGAGAGUGGCGCACGGGUGCGUAACACGUAUGUAACCUACCUUUAUCAGGGGGAUAGCCUCUCGAAAGAGAGAUUAAGCCCGCAUAAAAUCGCAGCACAGCAUUGUGUAAUGAUCAAAUAUUUAUAGGAUAAAGAUGGGCAUGCGGAACAUUAGCUAGAUGGCGGGGUAACGGCCCACCAUGGCGACGAUGUUUAGGGGAUCUGAGAGGAUGGCCCCCCACACUGGUACUGAGACACGGACCAGACUCCUACGGGAGGCAGCAGUAAGGAAUAUUGGUCAAUGGGCGGAAGCCUGAACCAGCCAUGCCGCGUGCAGGAAGACGGCCCUACGGGUUGUAAACUGCUUUUAUACGGGAAUAAACCCAGAUACGUGUAUCUGGCUGAAUGUACUGUAAGAAUAAGGAUCGGCUAACUCCGUG